AGGAGCGACCAUACCAGCACUAAUGCAUCAGAUCCCAUCGGAACUUCGAAGUUAAGCGUGCCUGGGCGAGAAUGGUACUAAGACGAACUUUGUCACAGGACUUC
rnacentral:rRNA from 1 species